rnacentral:rRNA from 1 species
GAUGAACGCUAGCUACAGGCUUAACACAUGCAAGUCGAGGGGCAUCAGGAAGGAAGCUUGCUUUCUUCGCUGGCGACCGGCGCACGGGUGAGUAACACGUAUCCAACCUGCCGAUGACUCGGGGAUAGCCUUUCGAAAGAAAGAUUAAUACCCGAUGGCAUAGUUCUUCCGCAUGGUAGGACUAUUAAAGAAUUUCGGUCAUCGAUGGGGAUGCGUUCCAUUAGCUUGUUGGCGGGGUAACGGCCCACCAAGGCGACGAUGCGUAGGGGUUCUGAGAGGAAGGUCCCCCACACUGGUACUGAGACACGGACCAG